GCAGAAAGGUGUGUCUCUUCUGCUAAAGCAAGUAUCUGGCAGGAAGAGCCUGACCAGGAGGCACCGGGCGGUCACUGGAGAUCAGCAGAUGCCUUCACGAUAAGUGAGGACUGAUUCACUUAAGGGCUGCCUGUUAGGAAUUUUGAAGGACCCUCCCCGGUGCAGAAGAGGGAGGGCAGAGGAGGCUAAUCUGUAGGAAAGGAUACCGCUUAACACAGAAAGGCAAAUUAACCUUGAAAAAUCAUAUCGUUGGGAUACUUUCCCUUGAAGAUGUCAGUGGAAAAAGAAAAGCAGGAGGCUGCCCGCCCAGCCACCCCUAAAAUGCCUGAAAAUUAACUGGAUGGUGUGAAAUGCAGGAACAAGGGAGCUGGCAGUGUGUACGGGACUAGUGUUGGAAGGAAAGAAUAAACAGCUUUCACACGUUUCUAAUUGAAUUAGAACUGUUCUGAGCCCACAGAAGAGAGGUUAACCAAGUUGGACAGAGUUCAGAACACAGGACACUGAAGAGGAAGAAGGUAUGAAGAUGCUCCUUUUGGAAACCUUCGGAUCAUCACUCAUCAAGUGUUCAGCUGAGAACUAAUCCCUACAUACAUGUGAAGAAACCAUUAUUCACUGCUAGGACUAAUGAAAAUCUCAGCAAACAAGACAGCAAGUUCAACCAGGCAAGAGAACAACGUUGGCUUUAACUGAUAUACGAAACUUUGAUGCUCAGGUGUCAUUCUCCUCCUGCCUGGGGCUGUCUCCCACCAUCCCAUGAAGUCAAGAGGAGCACAAGAUGAGAAGCAUACCUGGAAUGGCCUGUGAACCUUGUACAGGAAUCACACACCCUGGGAACCACUGCAGGGAGCUAGUUCCACUUUGAAUCCAGAGAACAAAGGCCCCUUGGGAAGUAAGUGGGGCCUCCAAUGGUAGGUGUACAUAAUUGGUUGAAAUAGGCAUUUCAAGGAUGCUUGAUUUGCAUUACACAGCAUACUGUUAUCAUAUGAACGGAAACACAGUACCUAAUUAUCCUAUAGGCACAGGGAGGGGAGAGCUGGCGGGGAGCUGCGUCAAAGGCCGCCUAGCAGACGUGGUUAGUCUAAAGACACUCUCCAGAUGAAGUCACCCAGAGAGUAGGAGGUUCUGCUGGGGAGACGGAGCCCUGCACCUUAAGGCAGCCACGCUCACAAUGGCUGGGAGAACUGCCACCUCAAAUGGCAGGCUGCCUCCAACACACAGCUAUCCUGUUAACUUUGUUUCUGAGCAUUCUGGGUCAGUAUAUCCAGAAAGAUUUCAAUCAGUGGACAGAGGAAAGAAGUCCCUUAUCAGUGUGGGUGGGCAACGCUUCCUCAGUUGGAGCUGGACUGUCCAUCUUCUCUCGGAAAAUCUGUGCUCCUAGCACCCAGGCCUUGGGGCUUGGGCUGGCUUUUCUGGUUCCCUAGCCUGCCAGCAGCAGAUGUGGGGUUUCACGACCUCUGUAAUCAAUUGGGACAAUUACCAUAAUAAAUCUCUCUUUUCUCUUUUCUUUCUCUUUGCCUGCCUCACCCCCUACCUACUGCCCCCUUGCACCCACAAGCAUGUCCUGCAUAACAAUUCAGUCAUCCAGUGCUGACCCCCUGGUGUUAAAGCAGAUAAUGUGGAGCUGAAAAAUUCCUGUCAUCCAGUGACCUUGCCGCCGUCAUAUCACAUGUGUUAGUGGUGGCACUGAUAAAAAGCCAACCUCUAGGUUAUAUCCAUACAUAGUCCUUGGUGGAGUAUUAGUCUCAUGAAAGACCCCUGUGCUCAGAUAUAUUUGGUCCUUGUGGAGCUCCUAUCCUCUCCACGUCAUAUUAACUCAGAGACUGAAGCACCAACCAAGGACCAUGCAUGGACUGAACCUAGGCUCCCUACACAGAUGCAGCCAAUGACCAGCUCAUGCUUCAUGGCUGCUGGCCAGGACACAGGGGAAGAGGACAUACUCAGUCCUGAUGUGAUUUGAUUGACAUGUGACUGUUUAUUUAUGCAACUGGUUCGUGAAUGACUUUGCAGAGCAGCAGGCUAAGGAUGUGAUACCUAUAUGGACAAAAUUUCACAUGUAGGGGCUAGAGAGAAGGUUCAGCCAAGCUAGCAUGAAGAUCUGACCCAUGAAGAUCUCCAGGACCCAUGGACAGCAGUUCUGGGGAGGCCUAGUCAGGAGGAUCCCAAAGGCUUGCAGUCCAGCUUGCCUAGCCAACUGACAACCCUUGAUUAGAUUAAAAAAAAAAAUUAUGUGGAAGGGCCAGGCCAGUGGUACAUACUUUUGCACCAGCACUCAAGAGGCAGAGGCUGGUGAAUCUCUGUGAGUUCAAAGCCAGCCUGAUGCACCUAGCAAGUUUCAGGCCAGCCAAGGCUAUGUAAGACCCUGUCUUAAAAAACUUCCAAGAAUGAAUUAAUUAUAACAUGGAGAACCACCUGACACUGACCCCUCGCCUCCUCUUGCAUGGGCACACAUAAUGAGAGACACUGGUACACUCCACACACAGCUUUGACUCACCCAAAAACUGAACUGCUGACAGACUGCUGUCAAGCAAAGCCUUCCAGUAAUAUUAACAGCCAAGCAAUUAUUAUGUUAUAUGCAUUAAAUAUGGUGGACAUACAAUAGACUUGGGGACUGCGAGAAGUGAGAUCACUGUUUCCUAUGAGAGUGACUUACUGGAAAGAUAAUCUGAUCACAAGGAGAUAGUUAAUGUCAUCCUGGACUUUAUGGCGACUGGCAACUCUUGAGUUCACCAAAAGAACGGGAACUCACUAGAUAGGAAGUCAUUAAGACACUCCAGCGUGCACUGAGGUUACCAUUUAAUUCUCUGUCUUUACACUUACUUGUAUUUUUCCCAACUGCUAUUGGUGCCGUGUAUGUUGUUUGUAUAUAAAGUUUAAUAAAGUUUAUAUGAGUUUUUGUAUUUUUACCAUGUUUGCAGUUUUUAUUCAAAGACAAUAAGAAACCUGUAAAACGGCAAAUGAUAUUUUGAUUUUGUGGCGUCAGUAUUUAUAGUUGACAUUUACAAUACUAUAUACCAUGGGCGAUUGACAGUUCAGUCUCCAUGUGGAUCUCUGAGUGAGAGGAUCAGGGGCUGCCUCUAUCAUGAACUCAGUUGACUGUUCUUUGAUCACUCGCUCCUGGUGAUGCAACUUUGCCAGGCCGCAGAGGAAGAGGAUCCAGGCAGUCCUGAUGAGACUUAACAAGCUGUGGGCAGAUGGCAAUAGUGGAGAACCCUCCUUUCAGUGGACUAGGGGAAGAGGAUGGUGAAGAGGGAGGGAGGGGGCUUCAAUUGGGAUAUAUAAUGAAUAAAUUGUGAAACAAUAAAAUAACAAUUAAAAGAAAAAAGAAAGUAAGGAAAAUAGGAACUUUUGCAACUUGUUGAAAUUUUGUUUUGUUUGUUUCAUGAAUAAAUAAGUACAUGUCUUUAUGUUUUCCAAAAACCUGGGAUUUUUCUUCAUUACUUUAUUCAAUGAAUACACAUUUUUGAAGGAUAUAAAGUUAGCUGAUGCCUAUAGCUUUUCUGCAUUUAUGGUCUCUUGAAUGUGCAUUCAAAAAAGGAUGUAGCAAAGGUUACAUUUCCCAGGAUGUUUCA